GAUGAACGCUCGGCGGGCGGUGCCUAACACAGUGCAAGUCGAACGAAGCGACGUGGAGGAAGUUUUACGGGAUGGAAAUCCGGUUGACUGAGUGGCGGACGGGUGAGUAACGCGUGGAUAACCUGCCUCACACUGGGGGAUAACAGUUAGAAAUGGCUGCUAAUACCGCAUAAGAGCACAGUACCGCAUGGUACGGUGUGAAAAACCCAGGUGGUGUGAGAUGGAUCCGCGUUGGAUUAGCCAGUUGGCAGGGUAACGGCCUACCAAAGCGACGAUCCAUAGCCGGCCUGAGAGGGUGAACGGCCACAUUGGGACUGAGAUACGGCCCAG
rnacentral:rRNA from 1 species